rnacentral:sRNA from 1 species
GGGACCGAACCCAGGGCCUUGCGCUUCCUAGAAAUGCGGGGGCAGGUAAGACACCUCUGCACAUAGAUGCACUCACCUUAAUGUCUGGUGACCUGAAUCUGAUGCUGAGAAACAAGGAAAGGGAAAAGAGGAAGCCUGACUCUUCCCAACGUCACAGCUAUGGUUCCCUGCACAAGUCAUGCACAAGGCCAAGCUGAUCAACAUUUCCGCAUCAAUGCUGACCAGCCAACAAACUGUAGGCAGUGGAUGCUGCUGGGAGAGGAACGUGAGGUUUCUUCAAAGGUGUGGUCCUUGACAAGUCAACCAUGUUCCUGUGAAUGGCCCCACACCCAUGUGCAUUCGAGAAACACAGAUCAGACUCGGUGGUGAUAAAAGUUACAAUAAGCAGACAUUAAUCUGGGCAUCUGUGUGUCUGGAGGAUUUAUGGAGAAGAGUGAUGGUGAGCAUAAUCAAAGCACCCUGUGCUAUAUGAAGGUCUCAAAAGAAUAAAUAAACGGUAUGUUAAAAAAGAAAACUA